UACGAAGGGGGCUAGCGUUGCUCGGAAUCACUGGGCGUAAAGCGCACGUAGGCGGCUUUUUAAGUCAGAGGUGAAAUCCUGGAGCUCAACUCCAGAACUGCCUUUGAUACUGGAGAGCUUGAGUCCGGGAGAGGUGAGUGGAACUGCGAGUGUAGAGGUGAAAUUCGUAGAUAUUCGCAAGAACACCAGUGGCGAAGGCGGCUCACUGGCCCGGUACUGACGCUGAGGUGCGAAAGCGUGGGGAGCGAACAGG
rnacentral:rRNA from 1 species